CUGAUGACUUCAUUCCCAAAUAUGAUUCGUGAAUUAGUCCAAGACCGGUACAGAGGUGACGUUCUCAUGAAAGACUCCCAAGUUGUUAAAAAACUCUGUCAUCCUCACCAAGAUAUCUCUGUGCCUUCCCUGUUUCUUCCAUGCCAUCCCUGAUGAUUGGAAUGCCCUUUCCAGAUCUGUUCGCCAAGUCUCCGCCUUUGCCUAAUUCAAACCACUCCUAAA